rfam:Bacillus azotoformans LMG 9581 contig34, whole genome shotgun sequence.
AUAACAGUAAAGAUUGGAAAUAGUAAAAGGAUUUAUAAAUUUGUCAGAGAGCCGAUGGUUGGUGAGAAUCGGUAGUUGUAGCCUUUGAACUCAUCCAUGAGCUACUCCCUGAACAUAAUCAGUAGGGGAUGUCGGUUUUCUACCGUUAUGAAGAUAGGUGGUGAUUGCCACCGAAAAUGAGUGGGUUAAUUAUUAUGAUGAUUAAUCAAUUAGAGUGGUACCGCGAGCAAUGCCUCGUCUCUAUA